rnacentral:rRNA from 1 species
UACGGAGGGUGCAAGCGUUAUCCGGAUUCACUGGGUUUAAAGGGUGCGUAGGCGGGCAGGUAAGUCAGUGGUGAAAUCUCCGAGCUUAACUCGGAAACUGCCGUUGAUACUAUUUGUCUUGAAUAUUGUGGAGGUAAGCGGAAUAUGUCAUGUAGCGGUGAAAUGCUUAGGUAUGACAUAGAACACCAAUUGCGAAGGCAGCUUACUACACAACGAUUGACGCUGAGGCACGAAAGCGUGGGGAUCAAACAGG